CGUGCCUCUGCAUCCUGAAUAGCUGGGAUUACAGGUGUGCACCACCACGUCCUGCUAAUUUUUGUAUUUUUAGAGAUGGGAUUUUGGCACGUUGGCCAAGCUGGUCUCGAACUCCUGGCCUCAAGCAAUCCACCCACCUUAGUCUCCCAAAGUACUGUAAUUACAGGUGUGCACCACCGCGCCCGGCCAGAUCUUCAUAUAUCUAAGAUCCUGUCAAGAAGUCAUGGUAAAUCUCAUCAUGAUCAAGAACGAGACUUUGCUUGCAUCCAGGCUUCCCAAAAGUUGUUUGGUAGUAUACAG
rnacentral:lncRNA from 1 species